rnacentral:tRNA from 1 species
UCUCUGAUAGUCCAGUGGUUAGGACUCUGCACUUUCACUGCAGAGGUCAGGGGUUCGAUCCUUGGUCAGGGAA